UACGAAGGGGGCUAGCGUUGCUCGGAAUUACUGGGCGUAAAGCGCACGUAGGCGGUCUUUUAAGUCGGGGGUGAAAUCCUGGAGCUCAACUCCAGAACUGCCUUCGAUACUGCAAGACUUGAGUCCGGGAGAGGUGAGUGGAACUGCGAGUGUAGAGGUGAAAUUCGUAGAUAUUCGCAAGAACACCAGUGGCGAAGGCGGCUCACUGGCCCGGUACUGACGCUGAGGUGCGAAAGCGUGGGGAGCAAACAGG
rnacentral:rRNA from 1 species